GGAUGUCCCCGCGGGUGCUCCACUAUGGGUACUAUGGGUGACUGCGUAGCAGCAGUCGCCAAAAACGGAAGGAGGGCACAGAGACCCUAUUUAUCCGCCGUGGAGAGCACCGCAGUCGCCACUGCCCCAUCUGAGUGAGAGAGAGAGAUAGAAUAAUGCUUAGCGAAGGUCCCAUGAGAGGACCAAGUCGCCGUUCUGCAAAUGUCCUUCAGAGAUACGCCUCUGUGGAACGCUGUAGAUGUGGCCAUGGCUCUAGUGGAAUGAGUGUGUGGUUGGGACAGAAGGGGUAACCCUCUCGUUGCGUAUGAUUGCACUAUGCAUGCAGUCACGAGAUUGGAAAUUCUUUGGGAAGAUAGACGUUGACCCUUAGACUUGUGUGCCAGGGAGAUGAAUAAAUGGUCUGUAAGCCUCAACGAUUUAGUGCGAUCUAUGUAGAAUGCUAAGGCCCUGCGGAUGUCCAAGGAAUGUAGGGCCGCGUCUCGUGGCGAGGCAUGGAGCUUCGGGAAAAAAGUUGGCAAGAUGACUGGUUUAUUAAUGUGGAAAAUUGGAGACAAUCUUGGGUAGGAACCUCGGGUGUAAUCUCAAGACUACUCCAUCGCUACGGAAGAUCGUAUAUGGUGGGAUGGCCAUCAUAGCGGAAAGCUCGCUAACCCUGCGUGCAGAGGUUAUUGCGAGCAGGAAAACCGUUUUCAGAGUAAGGAAUUGUAAGGAUACGGUUGCCAAAGGCUCGAACGGUGGCCUCAUUAGGGCGUCGAGUACCACGUCCAGGCUCCACACAGGAGGGACUGGGUUGCGUGGUGGGUCCAUGUUGGUAAGGCCCUUGAGAAAUCUUUUAGUCAUAGGAUGGGCGAAGAUAGAAACGCCAUCUAUAGGUGGUGUGAAUGCUGAUAUUGCUGCGAGGUGCACCCUGAUGGAGGCUAACGCAAGACCCUUGUUUUUUAGGUGCAGUGCAUAGUCCAGUACGGAGGAAAUGGACGGACGUGUCGGAUCGUGGUGAUUCGAGCUACACCAGGAGGAGUAUCUGCGCCACUUGUGAAGGUGAAUGGAGCUAUAAGGAGAAGCUGACAGGAGAACAGCUGAGAGGCGGGAGACCAGGCACAUUUUGCGGCAGACAGACUCCAUCAACUAAGGGAAAAAACCUGGGAGGACAAGGAAGGAUCUGGUCAAGGAUGUGCUGCAGCAUUCAAGGCUUCAAACACAGAAAAGGGAGCAAAGAAGAGCUAGGGAGAUGCAAGUCAGAAUAGAAGUCACUGAGUGCAUUUAGAAGACUAAAAUGAGAUGAUGAAGUGUCUUAUCAAAUGCAGAGUAAACAGAACCAAAGGCCUCCCAGUCUGCACAUGCCAAACUUUUUUCACAGCAGCUGUCCCUCUACGCCCAUACAUUCGCCUCCGUGGCCACACAUAAAAUUCUUUAUCCAGCAAGCAACCCUCCCUCUAAGCUCACACUCAUUUUCACAAUCAAGUAUUUUUCCCCGGCACACUCCACUCCCCAUCAAAGCAGCUGUGACUUUGACAGCUAGACAUCAUUCUGAGACUUUCCAAAAACUGUUUUGCCAUCCUUUACUACUGAGCAUCCUGAUUGAAAGACAUCAAUAAAGACAGAUGUGAUACAUGUUUCCAUGAGUUUAUUUUGUGUGACACAAACCACACCAAUCGCUCUAGCCCCUGGAAACCUGUAAUAUCCCUUGGUUUCAUGGGAAUACCUUGCUCAGGAUGAGCAGUGGGAUGAGGCAGAGAAGGAAUCCCAGCACACAGAAAUGUCAGUGCCCAUCAGUGUCAAAGUGGUUCCUCAGAUCCUCCCUGAUAUUCAUGGCCACCCUAUCGUCCCUCUGAUAGCACGAGUGUCUGGCUGUUCAAACUGUGUAUCCAGACACUAUGUUCCAUUGUUCCACCCACAGGCAAAUGCUUUACCAUUUACUCUUCACAUAAAUUAUGUAAGCAACAGCAUGCUCCACCACCUUGGGCCGUGGUGUCCAAAAUGCUAGCUGCUAGCCACAUGCGUUUAUUUGGCCAGUUGAGUGUUGCAAGUUGUCUUAAACACUACAGUGGCUACUGCUUCAGAACAGGUUAGACAACACCGACUUUGUGGAUAUGAUCCUCCAAAAGUUCCAGUCUAGGGAUGAAAGUGAUGAGUCAACUAUCUGAUAAGCAUUAGCGGGGCAGGGGAGGUAGCGGCACAGCAGGAAACAGCACAAGUGGGGACUGAAACAGUCUCCGCUCGCGCUCUGUCUGCUGCAAUUCUGCUUUUGAAAUGUACAAGAGUCCCAGCCCGGCUCUUGUACAUUUCAAAAGCAGAAGCCCCACAGGGAGUGCUGGGGCUGGCCUCAAGCUACCUGCAGGGCUUCCUUUUGAAAUGUACAAGAGCCCUAAUGGGGGAUCCCUAAUGGAGGAAUGCCUACUGGCCGCAAGCUCCCUGCGUGGCUUCCACUUUUGAAUUGUAGCAAGAGCGCAGAAGUACCCUUAUAGACUAAUCAAAUAGUCAAUGGAAAUCCUAUCAACGAUUCGAUUAGUUAAUCUAAACUGAACUUUAGCAAGAACUGUAGCAAAAGCCUGGAGGCACCCUUAUAGACUAACUGAAUAGUUGAUGGAAAGUCCAUCGACUAUUCAAUUAGUUAAUUAAUCUAAAUUUAACAUCCCUAGAUCAGCCUGCCACAGAGACAUCUCCAAUGCCCUUUCAAUCUGUCAAAGGCACAUUCAACAACCAUGCGGCAUUGGCUUAGCCUGUUGUUGGACAGCAGUAAGGAGUAGUACAAGUGCCCCAUGAAAAGCACCUCAUUGCAGGAGGAAUACCAGCUAAUUUGAGUUAGCGCUUUAAAUCGGA